UACGUAGGUGGCGAGCGUUGUCCGGAAUUACUGGGUGUAAAGGGAGCGUAGGCGGGAUAUUAAGUUGAAUGUAUAAACUAUCAGCUCAACUGAUAGAAGCGUUCAAAACUGAUAUUCUUGAGUGAAGUAGAGGCAGGCGGAAUUCCUAGUGUAGCGGUGAAAUGCGUAGAUAUUAGGAGGAACACCAGUGGCGAAGGCGGCCUGCUGGGCUUUAACUGACGCUGAGGCUCGAAAGCGUGGGUAGCAAACAGG
rnacentral:rRNA from 1 species